CCGAUCCUGAAGGAGGCAAGAGCCGGGAGAACAAGCUGCUGUUCCGCGAACCAGGCUUCAGCAGAGUGUUUUAAGAUGGUGGACUUGCUUGAAGACAGAGAUCUGAAACACGGCGAAGCAAAGAAACAUUAUUAAGGGCUUCAAAUACACGCUCCUAACCCCCGCGACUCCGGGGGAAAAAGCAAAGGACAAGUUUUUUUUUUCGAGUGUCGCCCAAAUGGCUUUCAAUGAAUAUUAAAAAUCUACUCACGGUAACAAGUGACAUUUCAUGCGUGUUCGAGUGUGGAGCGGCGUGUGGAGUGUGUUUAGCAUGCCGGAGAAACUGUAUGAUAUUAUGACUAAAUACCAGAUAUCCAGAACGCUUUAAAUAUCAAGCAAAAAAAUGUCUGUAGACUCUUAAUCAUCGAGGUCAUGGAAAGACAGAUUGCUUGAGAGGAGAUUGAUGUGAAACGUUUAAGUUUAGUUGUAUAGUCGAUAGAUCUGCAUGUUGGUGGGGAGACGGCAACAAACACCACCUCAGCAGCAUCUGCAGUGCUACAGUUAAAAAAAUAAAACACUGAAGCAGC